GCAUCAGUGGUGCAACGGUUAGCACUAUGCUCGCGGAAAGUGUGAGAUCUGGGUUUAAAUCCCGGCUGACGCA